CCCCUAGAUGUUCUGGGCCGCACGCGCGCUACACUGAACAGUUCAACAAGUCUUAACCUUGGCCGAUAGGUCUGGGUAAUCUUUGAACGCUGUUCGUGAUUGGGAUAGACCUUUGCAAUUAUGGGUCUUCAACGAGGAAUUCCUAGUAAACGCAAGUCAUCAGCUUGCAUUGAUUACGUCCCUGCCCUUUGUACACACCGCCCGUCGCUCCUACCGAUUGAAUGAUCCGGUGAGGCCCCCGGAAUGUGGUCACGGCUUUGGUUCGCCAAACUGAGAUCGCGUGAAGCUGUCCAAACCUUAUCAUUUAGAGGAAGGAGAAGUCGUANCA
rnacentral:rRNA from 1 species